rnacentral:tRNA from 1 species
GCCGCCUUAGCUCAGUUGGUAGAGCAAUUCACUCGUAAUGAAUAGGUCUGGGGUUCGAGUCCCCAAGGUGGCU